GGCUCCUUGAAAAAUUUUUAUAGGGAGUCUGACCUGCCCAGUGAUAUAAUUUUAACGGCCGCGGUACUCUGACCGUGCAAAGGUAGCAUAAUCAUUUGCCUUAUAAUUGAAGGCUAGUAUGAAAGGUUUAAUGAGAGCUAAGCUGGCUCCUGUUGAUUAAAAUGAAAUUGUCUUUUAGGUGCAAAGACCUAGAUUAAACUAAAAGACAAGAAGACCCUAUUGAGCUUCAAAAAUUAUAUGACAUGCAAUAUUACAGGUUACUGGAUUAUAGCUCAUUAAUUUUUUUUAGUUGGGGCGACUCUGGAACAACUAAAGCUUCCAAAAAUACAUUAGGUAAUUAAGCUUACAUCUGUCAAGAUGCGAUCCAAAAUAUUUUGAUUAAUGGAAUAAGUUACCAUAGGGAUAACAGCAUAAUCUUUUUUGAGAGCUCUAAUCGAAAAAAAGGUUUGUGACCUCGAUGUUGGACUAGAAUAUCCUAAGGGUGCAGAAGUUCUUGAAGGUUGGUCUGUUCGACCAUUAAAAUUCU
rnacentral:rRNA from 1 species